rfam:Enterococcus faecalis V583, complete genome.
AAAAAACAUUUGGGGUGCUGUUAUGGCUGAGAUGAUACCCAUUGAACCUGAUGCAGUUAGUACUGUCGCAGGGAAAUGCCGAUUUACUUUG